CCCUUAGACGUUCUGGGCCGCACGCGCGCUACACUGACCAGUGCAACAAGCAUCCGUCCUUGGCCGACAGGCCCGGGCAAUCUUUGAACGCUGGUCGUGAUGGGGAUAGACUUUUGCAAUUUUUGGUCUUCAACGAGGAAUUCCUAGUAAACGCAAGUCAUCAACUUGCAUUGAUUACGUCCCUGCCCUUUGUACACACCGCCCGUCGCAUCUACCGAUUGAAUGGUCCGGUGAAGCCUCCGGAUUGGCGCGCACCUCGGUGCCGCCGAGAAGUUGGCUAAACCUUACCAUUUAGAGGAAGGUGAAGUCGUAACA
rnacentral:rRNA from 1 species